ensembl:lncRNA
AUAGAAAUGACAAGAGAAAUGCUGCCAGCACUUAGCUCACUGCCAGUUCAGAACUAACAAUUGAAAGUUGACACACCUUAGUACAAAGGGAGGUCACCUCAGCAUUUCCCCUUUACACCAAGAAAUACCUUUAGUUUAAUAUUAAUAACCUAGAUAAAAUUAGAAAAAUUAAGAUAUGUAUCAGAUAAAAAUUAGUCACAAUAUUCAGUCCAUCUUUUUGUAUUUGGCAAAAUUGGAGAAGGUACUUCAUUAUUUAAACUAUAUUAGUCUAAAAAUCUUGUACCUAAAUCACUUUAUAUUACUUUUUAAGCUUUUAUAUCCUCUACCAUAACUUGUGUUUCUUAGCCAUAAUACAUCCUCUGAGACCAAAAGUACUUUUGUUAAUUCUAAGUAAUUUAAGGGUUUAUGUCUUUCAUUUUAUAAUUUUACACCUCUUUUGUGGAUAUAUGGUGUUUUUUUUUUCUUUUUCUUUUUUCAGCUUGCAGCUGAAGAAUAUUUUUGCUCUGAUUUAGAGCAGGAUGCAAGGGUGGAGUGCAGACCUGAGGGGAGGGUAGAUGAAUGGAGUUGAGCUGCAGGAUGUGAGAUUCACAGAGAAUAAAUAAGAAGUUAAAAAAAAAUAAGAAAUGAGCACAGUGGGGAUAAAGCAGUGAAUGCUUGGCAUGGGGACGUUUGGCAGUGGACUGGGCAUUUUAAGGUGUGGGGUGGAUUUGGGUGGGGUUCUGGAGUGGGUAAGGAUGGUGUCUGUUCUGGUCCUUCCAAGGAAACUCCUCGGUCCUCUCCCAUCCCUCCUGUGCCUCUAACUCCGCCUCUAACUCCGCCCCUAACUCCACCUCCAACCGCCAUAACUGCCUCCUACCACAGCAGCAGCUUCUGGGCACCUGCCUCUUUCUGCUCAAGCUCUUCUAUGUGCUCGGGAGUGGUACAUGCUUUAAAAAGUCCCGAGCAGUGGUCAGACCACGCACACUCUCCUGCCAUCCCCAUUCUCAAUUCUCAGGAUUUAUGAAGCCAGAGAGGUUGUCUCAGGCGUUCUGAUGCUGUGGUGGGCUAUACGUCCAGUCCUGCUUUCUGGGCCUCCCAUGUCCACCCUGUUCCUGUCCAGGUUCCUGGCUGUCACAUUCCUGCACGAUGGUGAACAAGUUUUCUUUUCUGAUUCUCAUAACAAGAAAAUGUUAAGACUAAACUAUCUAAUCUUCAACCCCAUCCGAGAUCUGAGAAGGAGAAAUGUUGCCUGAAUAAAAGGAAAUUCAGAGCAAACAGCUUCCAAAUCUAAAGAAAUGACAGAAAUUGUUGGCUACCCUGACAGACUGUCAGCAAAUGUUCCUGUGUCAUUGUGGCAUCCACCUUCAACUCACUGGGCCAGGAGCUCUGACAACAAUCCUUUGAAGCACGUCACUUGAAGGACUAUCCUAUUUUUUCUCCAAAAACUUGGACAACAGACCUCCCAUGAUCCACUUCUGCACAGUUUGGACAGCUUUCUAGCAGCAGCAAGACACCAUGAGCAAGGGAACUUAUAGAAGAAAGUUUAUUGCGGCUUACAGUUUCAAGAUCAUGAGUCUUUGAUUAUUAUGCUGGGGUACAUGGCAGCAGGUAGGACACCAUGUUUCUAAAGAACUGGCUGAGAUCUUACAUCUUAUCUGCAAGUUGGACACAGAAAGUGACUGUUAACUAUAAAUGGUAUUGAAUUUGGAAACCUCAAUGCCCAAUCUCAUACCAUUCCUCGAACAAAUCGAUAUCUUAUAAUUCUUACCGAACAUUUCCACAAACCAGGAAUAAUCAUUCCUAUAUAUGAGUUUAUGGGGGCCAUUAUCAUUCAGAUCACCAUAUUCCACUCCCAAUUCCCCAUAGGUUCUUAAACAUAUCAUAAUAAAAAAAUACAUUAGCUCAGCUUCCAAGACUCCUGUAGUCUUUCGGUCUCUGUACAGUUUAUCCACAGUGUUUAUGAUACUCCAGGCAGUCCCUUAAUUAUUCCCCCUACAAAAUCAAAAGGCAAAUUAUACACAUCCAAUGUGUAAUGCCAAAAUUAAAUGUUAUCAUUGCAAUGGGAAAUUGGGAAUGUGGUGAGUAAAUUCACGGCAUAAACCAAAAAGAGCGCACUCCAAAUUUGCUACUUCUGAUGAAUGACAAAGGGAUUAGAUGGGUCCACUCCCGUGGCUUUGCUGAUUGCAACAUAAAUCCUAAAACUAUGUUGUAUCACAGAGAUUUGUGGUGCUUGUGUUUUUAUUGUCAUUCGUUUCUAGGAAUUUUAAUUUUUCCUUAUGGAUUUCUCCCUUGGCCCUUUCAGUAGUGUGUUGUUUGUGUUGCUGACUUUCCAUGAGUGUGUGCACUGACUGUACUUUCAAUUGUG